rnacentral:lncRNA from 1 species
UGGACACCCACAUGCAUAACCUGAAAAGGUGGCUGAGUCCCGCCCAAGAGCUGCAGCUCUGCCUCCACGUGGUCUUGUCACCUGCUGUGCUUGCACCAGUGCUACUGGAAUUUCCCCACCUUGGGACAGUCUCCCCUCAGUCCCCACCCCUGUUAGAUUCUUGACUUCACUGUCUUCCUGGAGAGCGUGUUGGCGCCUCUCCUAUAUAUAAGGUGGUGUAGAGGAAAAGUAGGCAGCUGCCCCACUCCCAUCCUGCAUAUAAAAUGGAUGUUGACACAUGCCCGUGUGACUCGUUACCCUCACGUUACUUGUGGCUAGAACACAGGAAGAACCUACACACUCAAUAAGAGGCAAGGGUGACACGGGUGCUGGGGUGCAGUGAAAAAAACCAGGUGCUAAGUGCCACCAUAGAACUAUGUUAUUUCUAAUUACAACACUGGAAGGACAGUCACAAUAAGUGGAAAGUUGGCAGCAAAGCGGCAUUUCCGUGUCGUGGCUGUAACAGUGUAUAUAUGCUUCACGUACUGUACGAGCACAGGUGGGCCAGGCUGUCUAAGAAGGGAGUCUGGCCGUGGUCUGUGGACAUGGGAUUUGAGAUGGUUUUGAUUUUGUGUUCUUAUGUGAAAAGCAUAUCCGUUUGUCUGAUGUUUCUACAAUUAAAUGAAAAACAAAUAUAGGAAAAUAUUUUGAAAAGUCAAAAGCAUCAUACAAGUAAUAAAAAAAGCACUAUUACAGACAGGUAACUUGAUUUUCUCAUUUGCAUCAAUUUUGAAACUAUUUCAUUUCCCACAAUAAAAACGUUAAAAUAUGUUGCAGCAAAAACAAGCUUCAGAGAAAAGAAUGAAGGGAACCCUCUCCCUGAUGAGUGAAUCCUUUGAACAGUGAUUCUUCGGGAGCUGCCUCGGGGGCCACACCAGAUGGAAUACUCGGACUCACUAUUCUGUCAUGGAACUGGGGAAAUGUCCGAAUUUGACCACACCUAGCAAGGGAUGGAGGAAGAUGCAGAUCAAACUGCAAAUGUAGCUGUUACAUUGUGAAUGGCACAGAAAAUUGAAGAAACUGUCUCACAGCCUCUGGAAACUGUUAUCUACUUAAGCAAAGAAGUCACUCAGUCACUGAACAAGUGAAGCUCUGGCAUUCGUCCUGCUGCUUCGCCUUCAUCUGACUCAUCGGUGAAAACAUCCCCAGCAUUCUUGUCAGAACCACACUCAUUCAUCAGCUGCAACCCUGUGUUGGCUUCAGAUGUAGGGCUCAGCAAGACUCAAUGAAAGCAUUCCAUAAAAACUGGCUCUGUGGGAUUUACAACAGUACUGUCUAUUUUAUUCAUGUUUUUAAGUUGCAUGCUGCUCCUUUUAUAUCUGUAACAUGUACAGUACGCUUAUGUACACAUAUGUGUGCCCACACUGGAGCAGGGUAGCCUGUUUAGCAUUUACUAG